GAAGCAAGCCAGACCGCCGCUGGUGCCGGAUCCGAAAGGUGGCACUGGAGGAAGGUCCGGACUGCACAGAGCAGCGUAGGAGGUAACACCUCUCCACCGCGAGGUGCGGAUCAGAGCAACAGAGACGAGCCGGUUCAGUCCGGGUGAAACGGGCAAUCUCUACGCGCAGCAACACCAAAUAGGCCAGCAUUGAAGCGGCUCGCUGAGCUGGCGGGUAGGUGGCAUCGAGCCGGGUGGGCGACCCCCGGCCCAGAGGAAUGGCGGUCACGGCGGGGGGUCUUUCGGGAUCGUCUGCUGCACAGAAUCCGGCCUAUCGGCUUGCUUCACAC
rnacentral:RNase_P_RNA from 18 species